GCUGAUCUGGCUUAGUUGGUAGAGCACCUGACUCUGGACCUCAGGGUUGCAGGUUUGAGCCCUGUGUUGGGUG
rnacentral:tRNA from 1 species